UGCACACAUGACUGUAAGUCACUUUGGAUAAAAUCUGUGGAUAAAAGCGUCUGCUAAACGGCAUAUA
rfam:Salmo salar isolate Sally breed double haploid chromosome ssa16, whole genome shotgun sequence.